UGCCAAACAAUAGAUGAAACAUGUUAAUGAAAGACUUCCCAGACAUCAUUACCAAUGACAUAUUGAGUUACAUCAAUCAAGCGUAAUGCUAAUGUGAGGAAGAUACAAGGGAAGAAAUAGAACCAAUUACCAAUGCGGCAGACUUCUCAACCUAUCUUCAAUUGGUGAAUCUCAUAUUGGACAUCUUCAACAAGGUUUACUUGAAAGAGUAAAAUUUCAUUGCCAGAAUAUGGCAACUUAAACGAUUAUCUUUACAAGACUAAACACAAGGUUUAUCAUUUGUAUUAUCUUGGAAAAGAAUACUACCAUUCGGUUACUGUACAGAGCUCACUACCAUACACAAACCUGCUGAAUUGAGUGGAAAAAAACUACAUCUCCAGAUAAAAAAUGGAGAAUGGACGUUCCCAAAAUGCUCAUUGUAAAACAACCAACUUCAGACAUGCUGGGGACUACUUGCAGCACCGUCAUCCUGCAAAUGAAACUUAAUAAAUGAACUCCGAAAUAGUCUAUGCUCAGAUUUUAAAUAUUACGUAAUUAGAAUAUUCUACGUAGCACCCAAGUAGACAAUUUGGCAGCAAUACCUCCACUGCCAAUCUGAAUUGAAAUAGAUCAAUAAGGCAGCUACCUAUUCUACUAUUUUAACAGCGAAAUGAAGUUCAUCAGAAGCAGAAAUAGUGUUAAAUCAAAAGCAUGCAUCAAGUAGCACCAUAGUUAAAGGAGCAAUGUCAGGGUCAAGGUCACUCCGGGGCAAAAAGAUAGAAUAGGGAGAGAACUCAAAAGAAAGGAAAAGGGCAGCAUGUAGAUAUGCGAAUUCUAUUAGUUUGUUUCUAUAGUGGAUUUCUUCGGAGUAAUAGUAAUUGAUAGGACCUUGUUGGUAAGUGCUACAAGAUCAUGUUAUGCCUUCGAAAUGAAAGAUAAUUCCAAGUCCGCGUUUUUCUACAAACAAGAAAGCUAAAACUUAUGCAUCAUGUAUAUAUAUAUACACUCCAUAUAUAAAUUACUAAAAGUGGAAAUUACAAAGUGCAAUGUUGGAUUUCAAUUUUACCCCUACACUAAAUUAAAAUCAAAUUAACUAUCUAAAUACAACUACUACAUACCUUUUAAAACGAAAUAGAGUUUAAUUUAAAGCAAAAAUAGGCAAAUCACAGAAAUGAAGACAUGGGGAGUCAAACGAUUGACCCUGAGUUGCUGCUCUCUCCAUGUCAACAGUCUUUUCUUUUAUAGUUUUAAGGCAAUGCUACAAAAUUAAAAACAAAAUGUGGACUCGAGGAAUCAAACCUAAGAGUUGUGUAUGCUUUGUGCACACCGUUGCCACUAAUAUUAUUUCUAAGGGUAUUCAAAAUGUUAUUGUAAGAUUUGACCUAUAUAUAAUGUGAAAAUGAUUCAAGUGUGUUUUUUUCCAUUUAGUGAAAGGAAAUGGGAGAUUUAGUCUAUAGCCUUUAACAAACUUAAUUUUUAACUUUAUAUCAGAUCUUUAUUCUUACACAUAAAGAGGCCUGAAAAGGUCAUCUUUUUCUGUUCAAUUUGUAAGUGGAUAUAGAAAUAAAUCAUGAAAUGCUACAACGACAAUACCUGCCAAACAAUAGAUGAAACAUGUUAAUGAAAGACUUCCCAGACAUCAUUACCAAUGACAUAUUGAGUUACAUCAAUCAAGCGUAAUGCUAAUGUGAGGAAGAUACAAGGGAAGAAAUAGAACCAAUUACCAAUGCGGCAGACUUCUCAACCUAUCUUCAAUUGGUGAAUCUCAUAUUGGACAUCUUCAACAAGGUUUACUUGAAAGAGUAAAAUUUCAUUGCCAGAAUAUGGCAACUUAAACGAUUAUCUUUACAAGACUAAACACAAGGUUUAUCAUUUGUAUUAUCUUGGAAAAGAAUACUACCAUUCGGUUACUGUACAGAGCUCACUACCAUACACAAACCUGCUGAAUUGAGUGGAAAAAAACUACAUCUCCAGAUAAAAAAUGGAGAAUGGACGUUCCCAAAAUGCUCAUUGUAAAACAACCAACUUCAGACAUGCUGGGGACUACUUGCAGCACC
rnacentral:lncRNA from 1 species